UGUACUAACUGUAUAUGAGUGGAAUAUUUGAACAACGAGGUCAUUAGGUGUGAGAAGUGAUCAGACGGACUGACGAGAGGCGAGCUGAUAUUAUUUCACUAAAGCAUUCAAAUCAAGUAGAAAAGGCCAAGUAUAACUACUUUGUGGGRAGAUUGUGAGGAGAAAUUUUCCAUUAAUUGAAAGUGUAAGUCUGAUUUUGACUUGAAGGCGGGAAACWUAGGUGCCUAAACAUGGCAUUCAGAUGCACAAAACGUCGAAACCUGUAUCAAAAGCUUUCAACAGAAGAAGAAGAAAACUCUGAUGUUUUAAGUGAGAACAACAAGCGGCAAAGYAUCGACAACGAUGCGUUCAGCUUCGGUAGUCAAGAAUUGGCGGCAAGGGCAGUGGAAGAGAAACAGACUCGUGAACAGUUUUUACAAGGUUGCGGUGACCACCGCAGACAGGCCGUUUGUGAAAAGAUUGAAAGAGAAAUGCUAGAUGAGCGAGGAAUAAGUCUGCGAAAACUUCGAAAAUACAUGAUACUGGAACUGAUUCUUCGAGAAGUGAACUUGUUGUAAGAAGAUAUUUGAGUGGCCUUUCUAAUAUGUCAAGGGAAUUCAGCCGGAAUUGCUUUUCACUUCAAAAAGCAGUUAACAAGAAACAGAACAAUAGGCUUUGGUGGUCACCUUAGGAAAUUGGUUGUGAAGGUUUUGUUCGUGGAAUUUUGUAAAUGUGUUUGAAAAAAGGUCGCCUGGAUCUCGAGUGCUAUAUAGAAUUGAAACGAAAACAUUCUGUUUAUAGUUUUGCUGGUCUUCACGUGUACUGACAUUGAACACAGACACAUUACUAGAGAAGUACUAGUUUGAGAUGAAAUCGUUAUCUUUCAGAACGCAAUUUUUGUACUAAUCCAAUUGGCAAGGCAAUUCCCUAAUAGAACCUGAGUAUAUACUGUGAUAUUUCCGUUCUACUAAUGGCUGACAAGUACCUACCACGGACAACAGUCAAAAUACAGCUUGUCGAAAACAACCAUAUAUUUUGUAUAUAGCUUUUCUUUUUACGCAACAAAAUUUGAAUAAUAAUUGGAAAAGUGAUUACAUUGUAUGUUGAAUACGUUAAGCUAAACAAGUUUGUUUAUUAUAUUGGUCACCAGUUGGUAAAGAAACGA